UACGUUUAUAUUUAAAUAAAUCUUAUUUCUUUUCAUACCUGAAAGAAAUUUGUGAAGAGUUGUGACAUAUUUCUCCCAGGAGUUUUUGUCAGAGAUGUUGUAAUAAAUUUCUAAUCCUCCUUCACCAUAGACAUCCGGUCGUAACGUCACCCCUGUAUUUAAAAAAGAAAAAAUGAAGAAAAGAGAAGUGUUUCAGUAGAUGCUGUCAUGACUAAAAAGCUUGAAAGGAGUAGGAAAGUAAUCCAAUGGACAGAAUCUUUGUUUGAACUUGACUUCAGUGGGAGUUGAAGGCUCUGAUCCCUCGAAGAUAUUUGCUUCUCUUUAUGCACCAUGAGUAGUCCAGCUGAAAUCAAUAGUUGUUGAUAAAGUAUGAGUACGGCCAAAUAGAACAACAAGAAAAUCAGACAUUUGAGGAGUUUCUAUUUUCCAUAGAAAGAAGGGGAAGACAAGCAAGAGGCUCAUUCCAGUAAUCACAUAAUUUAACAAC